AUGGAUAAGAGUUCUCCCUCUGUGAAUGUUAGUCACAUGCGUGCUUUUCAUGCUCUUAUCAAAAAUUGAUGUCUCUUUGAUCUUGGUUACAGUGGACCAGCUUAUACUUGGACCAAUCGGCGCUACUCUUCUUGCCCUAUCUAUGAGCGCCUUGACCGAUGUUUAGUAAAUGCUGAAUGGUGUGCUUUAGAUCCUACUACAAAUGUUUACAUAUUAUCUAUCAUUUUGAGUGACCAUGCUCCUAUUUUAGUCUCUACUGAAGGUCAAUAUUGUAAAGCUAAGCAAAAUUUUAAAUUUGAAAAUUGGUGGCUUAUGGAAAAGGAUUUUCAUUCUUUUGCUAAGUCUGAUUGGAUUAGUACUGCUCAUAGGCCUUUCUAUGUCAGAGCUAAUCUUCUUGCAUGA
rnacentral:rRNA from 1 species